UAUUCUUUUGUUUGAUGUGUUAGGAUUUGAUUAGAUUUAUAGUUAAAUUUUAUUUCGAUAAGAAUUAAUAUUUAAAUCAGUUUGAGAUAAAUUAAGAUUUAAAUAUUAAUUAGAGGAUAAAUCUAACUAGAUUAGGAUUAAUAUUUAAAUCUAUUAGAGAUUGAUUAAGAUAGAUUUAGAUAUUAAUUAAAGUAUGAAUCCUAAAUAUAUUAGGAUUGGGUACCUUCUUGAUGGAGCAUUAUAUAUAAUGCAUUAGAGUCUCCUUUUGAGGUGAGUAUGGUUGAGAGCCUUGGAGGUACCGUACCAGAGAGAGAAAAAGAGAGAGAGAGUUAUUGAGUGCACCUAGUGCACAGGUGCGCAUGGAUGAUUGUUUUCUUUAUGGGUUUAUAGAAGACGAGAGAAGGGUAUAAGAGAUUCAGAAAGAGGGCUCGGAUUGUAGCUACUCUGUGCAGAAGAGGAGUCAGGUGUAAUCUUCUCUUAUUUAAUUGAAUCUUAUUUUACCCGCAUAUUUUUCUCUUUUAUGAUUGUAUCAGCUUUUGCUGAGGAAACGGGUUUAUGGUAAAAAUUCGAUUUGAUGCUUCCGUUGCGGAAUCCCAACAAUCGAUAUCGGAUCCACAGCAGUCGGUAUUGGAGCGGGUUGCGGAUUCACGAGAUCCGGUACCGGGGCGAAUACCGGAUUCCCAACAAUUGGUAUCAGAGCCGAAGGUUACCGAUCUGUGGGAGAGAUCGACGGAGAUGGCCACAAAAUUCGAAAUCGAGAAGUUCAACGGCAAGAACAAUUUCGGAUUGUGGCAGACUAAAGUACAGGCAAUCCUCGUACAGCAAGAGUUAGACGAGACGUUGAACAGGGAGGAGGCGAAGCCGGCGGAGGUCACGGAUGCGGCAUGGACGAAGAUGGAGUGGAAGGCGUUGAGUACGCUUCAUCUAUUAUUAGCAGAUGAGGUUCUUUACAACGUAGCCAGCGAGACAACGCCGGCGAAGUUGUGGAAGAAAUUGGAAGAUCUGUACAUGACCAAGUUCUUGACGAACAGAUUGUAUCUGAAGCAGCGACUGUUUACGCUGCGGAUGCAAGAAGCGGCGAACCUACACGAGCAUCUAAACGAGUUCAACAAGGUGGUGGCACAGUUGACUAGCAUCGGAGUCAAUCUGGAUGACGAAGACAAGGCGUUGAUCCUACUAUCUUCGCUACCGAUGACAUAUGAGCAUCUGGUGACCACAUUGCUUUAUGGCAAGGAGUCCAUAAGCGUGGAGGCGGUCACGGCGGCGCUUCUCUCGAACGAGAUGCGGAAGAUGACUCAGGAGUCCGGCACGCAAAGUUAGGAUGUAGAACUGGUGGUGACUGCGAAGAAGGAGGCGAGAAUAUCGGCGACUGGAUAUAAACAGAAGAAACAGCUAUCUGAGGUAGAACGCUUUUACUGUCAUAGGAAGGGGCAUAUCAAGCGCAAUUAUUGAAAACUUCAGGAUGAUCUGAAGGAGUUAAAGCGACAGAAGGAGCAAACUGUCGUGAACCAGGACGAGACGGUAUCAGCGACGGCGCAGACAGCAGAGUCGGAGAUGAUCGAUUCUGAUGUGCUGUAUGCGGUGACCGGAGGUGCGAAAAUUUCGGACGAUGUGUGGGUACUCGAUUCGGCGUGUUCUUUUCACGUAUGCCUAGAGAAUGAGUCUUUUGCCACCUAUAAGGCGACCAAAGGUGGAAAGGCGCUAAUGGGGAACAAGACAGUGUGCAAAGUAUUGGGAGUCAGCAUGGUGAAAAUCCGAAUGCACGAUGGGGUCGUGAGGAUGCUGACAGGUGUGCGGCACGUUCCUGAAUUGAAACGGAAUUUGAUCUCGUUAGGCGCAUUGGACUCGAAGGGUUGCGAUAUUUUAGCUUCAGGUGGAGCUAUGAGGGUCCGAAAACGAGAUCGGGUCGUAUGCGAGGCGAACAAGCGUGGGAACUUAUACGUUCUGAACGGGAGCACAGCCAGAACGAGAGCGAAGACGGUUUGGGUUCCAAAAGUUCGCGGAUAUGCAAUUGCUCGAGACGGAGCGACGGAUGCGGCGACAUCUCGAGCGAAGGAGACAAGCUCAAAGUGGAGCUUGCAUGGUGAGCUCGACGUAGCGGUUGAAAAUUACAAAUCAAACCAAGGUGGAGAAUGUUAGGAUUUGGUUAGAUUUAUAGUUAAAUCCUAUUUGGAUAAGAAUUAAUAUUUAAAUCUGUUUGAGAUAAAUUAAGAUUUAAAUAUUAAUUAGAGGAUAAACCUAACUAGAUUAGUAUUAAUAUUUAAAUCUAUUAGAGAUUGAUUAAGAUAGAUUUAAAUAUUAAUUAAAGUAUGAAUCCUAAAUAUAUUAGGAUUGGGU
rnacentral:lncRNA from 1 species